rnacentral:snoRNA from 1 species
AGUCCAUGGUGUGGGCACUUCCUUAGCAUUUUCUUGAAAUGCUCUCACGCCUCGUACAAGGAUUCACCUUCGUAUUUUUUAAAAUUGGAAAUUUCUCACCUUAUCUGAAU